CAUUGAUGACUACACCACCCAGCCUUGCACAUUCUAACUCUGAGCACUUAUUGGAUAUGUAAGAAGCAUAAGUGCCCUCUGUUAGGAUGAGCCUGACUGAGGAUCAAGACUGUAUGACUU
rnacentral:precursor_RNA from 12 species